AUUGAACGCUGGCGGCAGGCCUAACACAUGCAAGUCGAGCGGAUGAAGGGAGCUUGCUCCUGGAUUCAGCGGCGGACGGGUGAGUAAUGCCUAGGAAUCUGCCUGGUAGUGGGGGAUAACGUCCGGAAACGGGCGCUAAUACCGCAUACGUCCUGAGGGAGAAAGUGGGGGAUCUUCGGACCUCACGCUAUCAGAUGAGCCUAGGUCGGAUUAGCUAGUUGGUGGGGUAAAGGCCUACCAAGGCGACGAUCCGUAACUGGUCUGAGAGGAUGAUCAGUCACACUGGACCUGAGACCCGGUCCAGACUCCUACGGGAGGCAGCGGUGGGGAUUUUUGGCCAAUGGGCGAAAGCCUGAUCCAGCCAUGCCGCGUGUGUGAAGAAGGUCUUCGGAUUGUAAAGCACUUUAAGUUGGGAGGAAGGGCAGUAAGUUAAUACCUUGCUGUUUUGACGUUACCAACAGAAUAAGCACCGGCUAACUUCGU
rnacentral:rRNA from 1 species